rnacentral:misc_RNA from 1 species
GAUGAAGAACGUAGCGUAAUGCGAUAAGUAGUGUGAAUUGCAGAAUUCAGUGAAUCAUCGAAUCUUUGAACGCACAUUGCGCCCUUUGGUAUUCCAAAGGGCAUGCCUGUUCGAGCGUCAUUUGUACCCUCAAGCUUUGCUUGGUGUUGGGCGUCUUGUCUCUAGCUUUGCUGGAGACUCGCCUUAAAGUAAUUGGCAGCCGGCCUACUGGUUUCGGAGCGCAGCACAAGUCGCACUCUCUAUCAGCAAAGGUCUAGCAUCCAUUAAGCCUUUUUUUCAACUUUUGACCUCGGAUCAGGUAGGGAUACCCGCUGAACUUAAGCAUAUCAAUAAGCGGAGGA